AUUCGCAAAUUAGGACAGCAAACAGAACAGAACAGAACAGAAGUCUGCUUUCUUCUUCAACUACCGCCGCUAGUCAGCCAUCUGCUUAAACGGACACUCUCGUAAGUCAAAACCUCAUACGGAGGAUCAUUUUCUUCAUCUCAUCAAUUUCCGAUUUUCAAUCUCUUAUUAGUUUAGUGGAGUAGUAGAUGGACUAGAUCAUAAAAAACAACAUAAAGUCGUUUUGAUUCCCUCACUUUCCCCCGCAAUCAUGCCCUCCCGCCACCUGCUUUCGCCGCCGGACCCGCCGCCGCAACACCAAGCCCCUAGUCUAAUCCCGCCACUCGCCGGCGCUGCCGCCGCCGCCCUCACCCUCCUCAUCCUCCUGACAAUCUUCCUCCGCAAACUCACCCGCAAGCGAACCGUCCCGUCCGACUCAAAACCUCCCCACCGCUAUUCCUACUCCGCCCUCCGCCGCGCUACGUCCUCCUUCUCCCCCUCCCACCGCAUCGGCCGCGGGGGCCUCGGCUCCGUUUACCGCGGCUCCCUCCCCACCAACCAAGAAGAGAUCGCCGUCAAGGUCAUCGACGCCGGCUCCAUACAGGCCGAGCGCGAAUUCCAAAACGAACUUCUCUUCGCCGGCCGAAUCGAGUCCGGCUACGUGGUCUCCGUCAGGGGCUUCUCCUCCGACCGCAAGCGCCGCGUCAUGCUGCUCGUCUACGAGCUCAUGAGCAACGGCAGCCUCCAAGAGUGCUUGCUCUAUCGCAAGUGCGUAGAAUUAAAGGAGUGGAAAAAUCGGUUUAAAAUCGCGAUUGAGGUAGCGAAAGGGUUAGAGUAUCUCCACCACUGCUGUGACCCGCCCGUGAUCCACGGCGACGUGAAGCCGAGUAACGUUUUACUGGAUCGUAAUUUCAACGCCAAGAUAGGUGAUUUUGGACUUGCUAGGUUGAAAGAAACGGAGGAGGAUCGUAACGUUGAGGUUGAAUUAACGGAGGAGUUGGGUCAGGAUAACGAUACGGAGAGCGUGACGACAACGAGCGGGAUCGACGAGUUUAAUUUCUGUGUUAAUCAGUCGCCUGAGGAGAGUUUUUUUAGGGUUGUUACGGAGGGGCAAGAAGCCUCGCCGGAGGCGGCAGCCGCAGCGGAGGGGAUUUUGCUGCGGACGGGUGCGACGGCGUCCCCGGCGGCGGAUGGCAAUUUUGAUCGGGGGAGCGUGGAGAGCGGGACGGAGAUGGUUAGUGACGGCGGUGGGGAGGCUGGGAGAAUGGGGAAACGGGUGAAGAAGAGUAGGUCAGUGAAGGAUUGGUGGUGGAAGCAAGACAAUGAAGGGGGAGAGUCUGGUGGGGUUGUGAAGGAUUAUGUGAUGGAGUGGAUUGGGAGUGAGAUAAAGAAGGAGAGGCCUAAGAGUGAAUGGGUUGUUGGGGGGGCUUCUACUUCGGGCCCGGUGGUUGUAAAGCCGGAGAAACCAGAGAGGAAGAAGGAUCGGAGACGGUUGGAUUGGUGGACAAGUUUGGACGAGGAUAAGGUUGCGAAGAGAGAGAAGAGGAGGCCAGCAAGGGAGUGGUGGAAGGAGGAGUAUUGUGAAGAGCUGGCUAGGAAGAAAAAGAAGAAGAAGAAUAAACAAGGGCAAGGGACAUCAUCCCUUGAAGGUAAUAGUAGGGAUGAUUUAUGGCCGGUGGAUGUGGAUUUCUACGUUGAUAGAAAGAAGAAGAGGAGGAGUAGUAGGAGCAGUAGUCGAAAUAGUGUGGAUUGGUGGUUGGAUGGGCUUAGCGGAGAGCUAUGGAGAGGUGGUCGUGGUGGUGACAAUAGCCAUGAAUCUGCUGGUGGCGAUAUACCCAAAAGUUGCGGCGUUAGCAGCACACCGAGUAUGAGGGGAACUGUUUGUUAUGUAGCCCCUGAGUAUGGUGGUGGUGGGGCUAUUUCAGAAAAGUGUGAUGUUUACAGCUAUGGGGUUCUACUGCUUGUUUUAAUUGCUGGGCGAAGGCCGCUUCAGGUGACUGGUUCACCCAUGUCUGAAUUCAAACGGGCCAACUUGAUUUCCUGGGCUAAGCAGCUUGCACGUGCAGGGAAGCUGCUUGAUUUAGUUGAUAAGUCUAUUCAGGUUUUGGAUCGGGAACAAGCUCUAUUGUGCAUUACCAUUGCGCUUCUCUGCCUUCAGAAAUCACCUGCUCGCCGGCCUUCAAUGAAAGAAGUGGUGGGAAUGCUUUCUGGAGAGCUAGAACCUCCCCGGCUACCUGUUGAGUUCUCCCCUUCUACUCCCUCCCGUUUUCCAUACAAAUCACAGAGGAAGGGCCGGUGCAUAAUGGAGGCAGCGGCUAGAAGAGGGAACACUCGGUGAAGUAAGCUGGGAGUAUCUAUUAGUGAUUUGAAAAGCGGGUAAUUUGGUAUGUUUAGUUUCCAAGCUACGCAGACAGGUUCUACUGCAUAUUUUUGUGAGGUGGUGAUCUGCUCGGGUACUUUAUGGGUCAGAUCUUGAUCGAGUAGGCCUUCCUCUUCCUUAAGCAACUCUGUAAAACAAGGAACCGGUUGGCGCCGUCCGGCUGGAUUCAGCCAGAGGGCACUCCGAUGCCUAAGUUAGACACUGAGUGAGAGAAAAGGCAAGUACAACAGAUCUCAAAUCUAAAAGAGCAUACCUCCUUAGGCUUUAUAGAGUGUGUACUUGCUCCCUAAGUAGCCCCGUGACGUCACCCGUAACCAUUUUGGGGUAGGUGACGUCAUGCAUGCCGCUCGGCAUUCACGUGUCCGGAACAUGACACCGGAAAUGCCACGUAGAAUUCACCUGGCUGCUGGGUUAUCUCACGGGUCGGGCAUGAUCCUGCGUGGGACACCUCAAGGCUCCCAUUGACUGGAUUUGCUAAGUGGGCCUCAGGGAACGUGGGCCAACCAUGCGGCUGAUGUGUAUUCGUCCCAAGCAAGCUCUAAUGGAUGGGCUGCCCCGUAUUGUCACGCCCAAUGGCUUGUCGGAUUCGGCCCACUACAAUUUUUUUGCUCCAUUGGAUCUACUAUGCAGUAAUUUUUAUUGUGUUUCAGUUUCUUGUUGAGUAAUUAGGCUUAAAAGAUAGUAAUGCUACUAGCCUUGUAACAACCUAGCACUUGGUGGCCUAAUAACUUGUUACAGUAGACCUACCACAUGGCCCAAAAGUUUAAGCUCAUGUUAUUUUUUAGCAAGUGUGUUUCAUUAUAUAUCGAAUACUCCUUUCAUAUAGCCGAUGUGGGACUAAACUACUAGGACCUCUUCCUGGGUUUCGCAAUCUACUUUAACGAGUUUUAAAAAAUAUAGCUAAUUCGUAGGUUGUAUACCUAACCCCUUGCAACAGCAACUUUUUUCACGAAUCCUGCAAUCAGAAGCUUUUAAAGUCAGAACAAUGACACGCCUUUUCUGAUGUAAACACACUGUAAUUCUUCUUCAACCUUGUUGAACUAUAAUCCGUGGUGCCUUCUGUUACAGUAGACCUCAACAUCACCCGUAGUAAUAGUCAGGAUAAUGCCCACACCUAAAAAAAUGCACACACAACCGCACGUCCAUUACGUGUCAUUCCAAAACAAUGGAUAUUUGGGGAAAGCUGUGAUGAGCAGCCAAGCCCACUUGAUUUUUGUGUGACUGAUCUCAUCAAUUUUCAGUUGGAAAUUCCAGUUUCUAAAAUUGUGAACUAGCUCAGAGCCCUACAAGUAGGACCAUCAAAACAAGGGGAAAAAAUGAAAACCAUGUAACUAUGUUCCUUUGGUAGUAAUUGAGAGUUCAUUUCCAUAGAAAUUUGUUAAUUUGCCUAAGAACGAGCUGGGAUUCAUUGUGCCCUGUAUAUGUAGAAUUGUAGAUUUCAUCUGAUACCACUGAGUUGUUUGACUAAAUCUUUGUGUUGUCGGAAAACAGGUAUAGCUAUUUCUCACUGGAAAGAGUGACAGGGCACAAUCAUUUGGAGUUGAUACUGUCUUAAAAAUGGAGGUCGUCAUUCAUAGUUACUUUUAUCUGUAGAUGACACAGAGUGAUGCUCCGCAUGGUGCUUGAGGCAUUCAAGACCAAAACCAUCUGCACAUGUACUAUGAGCCCUGACCCUGUAAGCAAGGGUGAAAACGUGCAGAAUCAGGAUAGAGAUAGAGAUAGAGAAAAAGUAAAUGUAUCAUGAAACCUACUACUUGGAUAGUGGCAAGUCUCUCUUCUGUCACAAAAGUUCUUGCCAUUAUCAUCUGUGUAUUGGUAUAACUUUAGAUGAUUCCUACUCCAAAAGACCAUUGAAGGAUCAUGGUGGCUCCAUAUGAUUCUGAAUGUGUUUUUUGGCAUUGGAAGUCGAAUGAUCGACAUUUGUGCCGUGUUAUGAAAAAGACAAGGGGAAAAAGGGAAGCCCAAGGCCUCAUCUUCCUGUACCCCCCUCCCAAGCAAGUCUGUAAUAACCUUCUUGCAGACAGACAGACAUAACCCAUGUUGUCCCCAAUCAUUGGGGGUAUGGGCGGAGAAGGAUUGUAGACAGACCUAACCUUUGGCAAUAUGCACAAAGUAGCUGCUCUCAGAAUACCACUGAAACAGUGGCCCCCCUAUACCUAUUUUGUUGUGGAACCAUACCCACUAUCAAAGCCGAUAGCAUUAGAGAGGGCAGGCCUAGAGACCCAAUUUAAUUUCUGUGCACAUUAUUAUGCUUCCUUCAUUGAUAGUUCAGAGUAUCAAUAUGUACAAAUAGUAAUUUGCACCACAGGAAACAUGCUAUCUCCAACACUUUUGCCGCAUUUGUCCCAUUUUUCUGAGUCGGUGGAGCACAUGCUUUUUGGGUGUGAAUGGACUCAUGCUGCGUGGUUUGGGAGUGAGCUCAAUUUUAUCGUCAAUCCUCAAAGCUGCAAUCUGUUAGGCACUGGACGGUCAAUAGUAUUGAAGGUUCCAAGAUGAAAAACACACGUGGUUGGUUUAUUUGGAAGGACAGGGAAUGGCAAUAUGUUCAAUUGUCCACAUUGAACCCAACUCAAGUUGUCCAGAAAGCUGCAUCAGCUGGGUUGGAAUUCUUGGCAGCUCUAGAAAAAGGACCUCAAUCUUCCUAAUCGUAUUACUUCCUCAGUUCCACAUAUGAGCAAAUAUGGUCUCCACCAAAUGAAGGUUCUUACAGAAUCAUUAGUUGUGAUGCCUCUAUGCGGAAGAAUGACUUGCAAAC